rnacentral:lncRNA from 1 species
UCACAUCUAUCAUCUGAUAGAAUCAAUCAAUUUGAGUUCGAUAUAAAAUCUAAUAAAAACUCUUUUCUAUUUUUCACACUACCAUAGUCAUGGGCUUUUGGACUCAAUCUCAUAAUUUACAUAGGACUGCUCCUCCUCUACCAAGGUCGAUAGAUCACAUUCUUGAUGCAAUCCAAUUCCUAUGAUGAAUAUAUUACAGCCAAUAUACACCUCAAGGCUUUGUAUGGCUAGG